UACGAGGGGGGCAAGCGUUGUUCGGAAUUAUUGGGCGUAAAGGGUGCGUAGGCGGUCUGAUAAGUCAUCUGUGAAAUCUAUGGGCUCAACCCAUAGUCUGCAGGCGAAACUGUCGGGCUUGAGUAUGGGAGAGGUGAGUGGAAUUUCCGGUGUAGCGGUGAAAUGCGUAGAUAUCGGAAGGAACACCAGUGGCGAAGGCGGCUCACUGGCCCGAUACUGACGCUGAGGCACGAAAGCGUGGGGAGCAAACAGG
rnacentral:rRNA from 1 species